AGUACAAUGGUUGGAUUGUAUGGUAUUUGUAUAACUUUUAAUGAAACUGCCAAAUUAUUUCCAAAGUGGUGGUACUAAUUUACAUGUCUACCAGCUGU
rnacentral:pre_miRNA from 1 species